ACGGGGAGCACCACAACAGGUGGAGCCUGCGGUUUAAUCGGACUCAACGCCGGGAAACUCACCAGAUAAGACAGCUGAAUGAUAGUCGGGCUGAAGACUCUACUUGACUAGCUGAGAGGAGGUGCAUGGCCGUCGUCAGUUCGUACUGUGAAGCAUCCUGUUAAGUCAGGCAACGAGCGAGACCCACGCCAACAGUUGCCAGCUCGUCCUCCGGGAUGGUGGGGACACUGUUGGGACCGCCUCUGCUAAGAGGAGGAAGGAAUGGGCAACGGUAGGUCAGCAUGCCCCGAAUUAUCUGGGCUACACGCGGGCUACAAUGGGUGGGACAAUGGGUAUCGACACCGAAAGGUGAAGGCAAUCUCCUAAACCCAUCCGUAGUUCGGAUUGUGGGCUGCAACUCGCCCACAUGAAGCUGGAAUCUGUAGUAAUCGUGUCUCAAAAUGGCACGGUGAAUAUGUCCCUGCUCCUU
rnacentral:rRNA from 1 species